rnacentral:lncRNA from 7 species
GCUGGAGAUCCUUGUGUACUUUUAUAAGCUCCGUCAAAAGGAGAAAGAAAUUAGAUAACAAGUGCAUGCAUGUGUGAGUGCUUGUGGGACUAAAUUCAUGUGAAAUACUGGACCUGAUUGCUGGGCUCAUAAAAAGCAAGGGGAGAAAAUGGGAAGAACCAGACUAAGAAACCUCUUGGGAUGAGUUAAACAUGGGAAAAUUGCUCACUGGUUACUAUCACAGACAGAACAAACUCAAACUUAACUAUCUUAAGGCUGUUUUAUUCCUUUGCUCCAAACUACCAGCUUCCCACACCAAGUGGUGCAGCAGCAGAUUCUGAAGUUUUCUUGGACAUAUGAAGAGCUGUGAAGAAGUUGGACAUUUAACAACAACAACAACAGAUUCUGAUCUCCUUUCUCUGUCCUAUUCUAACAAUGAUUGAAAACAUCGUUUUGAGUAUCUUUUCAUCCUUUAAAAAGUCAUAAAAACAAAAACCAGGUCUGUGCUAUUGCUCUUUAACUACAAUUCAGUUUUCUUCCAGUGUGAAAAAGCCAUAAAAGUAUACAGUAUCUUUCCUUCUCUGUUCAUUUUAAGGUUCAAUUUGGUAUAUUUAUGGCAAUUAUAUAAACAUAAUUUUAGUCAUGUCUUUCACUUCAGAAAUAAUUGUUUAUAGAGUAAUUACUAAUAAGAGAGUAUUUCUGGUGAAUGUGAAUGCUAAUUAACUAGGUCUUCCCAAGGUGUCUUUACUGAAGACAUGUUAUUGAUCACUGAAGCUAAGUUGGGAAAAUUCAUCAAGUCUCCUGGAAACUGUUCUCUGUUUAAGAUAUAAAUAUUUUUUUAAAAAUUCAAAUAUUUAAGAGUAAAAUGUGUGUGAAUUCCUUAAAGCCAUCAGUGCACCUUACUCUUGUAAGGCUUUUAUUCUUGUGUAGAUCAUAGAAUCAUCUGAGAUAGAUACUUGCUGUUUAUGAACUUCAGAGAGACUCUGUGAAUACUCAGCAUUGUGCUUCUGACUCAACUGUGCUUUCAAGCUUUUCCUUGCAGAAGGGCUGAGGAACCUCUAAUUACACAGAGAUAUAUAUUUUGUAUAAACCUUGUGAAGAGAAGUCAUAAUCUACAUGUAUAUACUUUUUCAAAAAACUUGAAAAGAAAUGUUUAUCAAAAAUAAUUAAAUUAAUUUUGGGAU